UGACACUGAACAUUGAGCCUUGAUGUGUAGGAUAGGUGGGAGGCUUUGAAGCGUGGACGCCAGUCUGCGUGGAGCCAACCUUGAAAUACCACCCUUUAAUGUUUGAUGUUCUAACGUUGGCCCCUUACCGGGGUUGCGGACAGUGUCUGGUGGGUAGUUUGACUGGGGCGGUCUCCUCCCAAAGCGUAACGGAGGAGCACGAAGGUUAGCUAAUCCUGGUCGGACAUCAGGAGGUUAGUGCAAUGGCAUAAGCUA
rnacentral:rRNA from 1 species